rnacentral:rRNA from 1 species
GAUAAACGCUGGCGGCGUGCCUUAUGCAUGCAAGUCGUACGUGAGACCGGCUUCGGCCGGUUGAAAGUGGCGAACGGGUGAGUAACACGUAGGAACCUGCCCGGAAGUGGGGGAUAACUCCGCGAAAGCGGGGCUAAUACCGCAUGUGGUCGCAAGACCAAAGCUUCGGCGCUUCCGGAGGGGCCUGCGGCGGAUUAGCUAGUUGGUGGGGUAACGGCCUACCAAGGCGACGAUCCGUAGCUGGUCUGAGAGGAUGGUCAGCCACACUGGAACUGAGACACGGUCCAGACUCCUACGGGAGGCAGCAGCAAGGAAUUUUGCGCAAUGGGCGAAAGCCUGACGCAGCAACGCCGCGUGGGGGAUGAAGGCCUCGGGUUGUAAACCCCUUUGUCGAGGGAAGAAGAUCUGACGGUACCUCGCGAAUAAGCCACGGCUAACUACGUG